AGAGGCUGCGGGCCCUGAGCCGCUCGGCGCCCGCGCCGGCUCCCCACCGCGGCGCUGCCCCGCCCCCACCCCGUCGCCCGUGCAGGCUCCGAGUGAAUGAACUUGAUUCCAGGGAUUUUGAAGAAGGCGGUUCGCCUUGCACCCUUUCUGCACCCCCCGCCCACAUACACACACCGCCCCCCAAAUCCAGUUUUCUGCUUGGGGUGGAUGGGGACGAGGGGGAAGCAAAGGCCUCCCAGACAAUGGAGGGAGGAAAAGUGAGCGCCUGGGGCUCCGAGUCUACCUAGCUGGGGGAUCCGGGGGGCGCUGGGGCUACCGGGUCCUCGCGGGCCCAUCCCCAGGGCGGGGCCGCCCCGCUUCCACGGGUACUGCUGGGGCGUUUCGAGGCUCGCCCCCGAUUCCCCGGUCCUCUUUCCACCGCUUCCCAGCUCGUGAUCUGUCCCCUCAACUUUAGCCCCUCUCACUCCCUCUGGUUUCUGUCCACCGUCCCCUCUUCCCUCCCCCAGCGGACCUGGAGGAACCAGUGACUUUUUCCUUCACCAAGUGGGAGUUAUCCACAUCAAGCAUUUCACAACGACACAUCAAGAAAAGUAGGCAGGUUCAAGUCAACCAUGAAAUGGUCACUUUUUAACCCCGUCCUGUCCUCAUUAGGGAAAUGCUCAAACACAGUCCGUUUUCAAAGAGCGCUCUUAAUGAGGCGAGCUUGCCAAGUUUACCAGCUGCAGCCCCCGUAAACCCAGAGCCCAAAGAAGAAAGGCGCUGGGGGGUGGGGAGUUCGGGAGGCCGGGGACGGGGGCUGCUGGGACUAGGAAGACAGGUAAAGUCGGGGAGAUCGCGCGGACCCCUGCGAGUUAACCCUUUCGGCCACACGCCCUGGGAGCGGCCUCCCUGCGGUCCCCGCCCCUGCCCCGGCAAAUCCUGGAGUCAGCGUUCUGACAACGUUAAUUUCCUUUGUGCGGGUCAUUUCUUCUUUUUGAAAAGCUGGGAUAAAGUUGGCAGUCUUUAUGGAUGAAAGAAAUGAGGUGACAGGGUUAAUCCAAGUAAAUACUCAUUUCUCUCAGAAAUUUUAGGCAACCUCAUCUUAGAUUAAACACACACAGACACACACACACAGAGAAACCACCAGCACGAAAGCAUCACUUUGUAUUGCACAUUACACUGCAUCCCCUUUCUCACCCUCACCAGAUUCUGAGGGGAGGGGGUGGGGAAGCUCUACUGAUAAUACCAGCUUUAACUACUGCAGUUUCCCUUUGAACAAAUAUUCAAUUUAACUGGAGUUAAUUUACCAUAAAAGACAUUCCCCUUGGCAGGAAUGCACUAAUAUCCUUGAACACACCUCUUUGAAUGCCUGGACUCUCAUAGAAGCCAUUAUUUCGGGGUCUCUUUAAAAAUCGAGCGCCCAUCUCUCCUUCUCUCCCUCCCUCCCUUCUUCCCUCCCUCCUCACCACACCACCCCCAGUGAAAUCCUGGCACCCAGAGAGCACUCCUUUCAGCCUGAGAGCCCAGAACCAGCCGUUGUCCCCUGGCAAAAAGAGGCCCAGGGCUGAGCCCUGGGCAAGUGUCUCCCGACAUCGCUACCCCUCCUCCCUUUAUUAGUUUCCCUUUCCCAACAGAAACCAUUUCCUUCUGCCACCAAAACUAGGUUGCAUCCAAAAGUUUUUCACAAGCUUAAAAAAGAAAAACGAAAAAUUGACAAGUAUUACACAGAAGAGCCCACAAAAGCUUCAGCAACACCAAGGGCGAAGAAGCAGCGUCAGAUCCAGGUCUGCAGGACACACCAAAGAACUCCUCCAAGUCACACAAGGGAGAAAAUUAACUUCAUUGGCUUCUAUCAGGAAAGCUAUUUUUUUUUUCCUCUUCUUUCCUGCAAGUUUCCCAAACCCCAUGACUCUGAUUUCCAGGAGGAGAGAGUCUGAUUUGCAGGUACGUGCAUACCCACAGCAGUCAUACUUGUAAUUCUUGGAAACUUUGCUGAAAGUUUUUUCCUAGCCUGAAAUCAUUAAAAUAUGUUGAAACAAUGACACU
rnacentral:lncRNA from 10 species